AGUCUCAAAAUUGUCGUUUUUUUAUGCUGGCAGGCUUGUCCCUUAAGGAUCCUUAGAAUAUUUUGAGGAGUAAGAUUGAAUAACUUGUUCAGUUUUCCAAACUGAUGCUACCUCAGAUCAUCAACAGACAAGUGCUAUAGAGUUCUGGAUAGCAGGAUGGAUGACGAUCUAGUUCCACCUAGGGAACCAUCUCUAAUAUCUUUAGUGAUUUCUGUUGCGGGUCUAACCUAAACCGUUUGAGCAGGCGGAAAAAAUAAUAUUUUUGCGUAUCCGGAAAGAUAUUGGAGUUCCAAUUGUGAAGACAGAUUUAAUAUGUGUCAAAUGAAACGCAUAAUCCGGAACAGGUGUAUCUUCACCGACAGAAACCAUAAAUGUUCAUUAAAUAUAUUUUAAUUAAAAUUUUAUUUAAAAAAGAUGUUUUACGUAAAAGCGAUUUGAGCUUUUCAGCCCACCAGUUAAAUAUCCAUGCUCACCUCUCUUAUAAUGUAUAUUAUGAUAAUAUAGUGAUAUAAUAGCUGCUUACUUUUAUUGAGCAUCCUUACCGAUAAUGAAAUAAUAAAAAAAAAUGGAAACAUUGUAAUUCAGCAUAACAAGUAAUCAAAUCAACUACCGGUAUACUAAUGGAUCGAUGGAUUAUGCGGUUAUAGAAUUAUAUGACUGAACGUAUGAAUACAAUAGAGAGGCAUAUAUAAUAUUUAUGUAUGUUGUUGAAAUUCAAUAUGCAAAUGUGUGAAUA